AGUGAACGCUGGCGGUAGGCCUAACACAUGCCAGUCGAACGGCAGCACAGUAAGAGCUUGCUCUUACGGGUGGCGAGUGGCGGACGGGUGAGGAAUACAUCGGAAUCUACUUUUUCGUGGGGGAUAACGUAGGGAAACUUACGCUAAUACCGCAUACGACCUACGGGUGAAAGCAGGGGAUCUUCGGACCUUGCGCGAUUGAAUGAGCCGAUGUCGGAUUAGCUAGUUGGCGGGGUAAAGGCCCACCAAGGCGACGAUCCGUAGCUGGUCUGAGAGGAUGAUCGGCCACACUGGAACUGAGACACGGUCCAGACUCCUACGGGAGGCAGCAGUGGGGAAUAUUGGACAGUGGGGGCGAGCCUGGUCCAGCCAUACCGCGUGGGUGAAGAAGGCCUUCGGGUUGUAAAGCCCUUUUGUUGGGAAAGAAAAGCAGCAGGUUAAUACCCCGCUGUUCUGACGGUACCCAAAGAAUAAGCACCGGCUAACUUCGUG
rnacentral:rRNA from 1 species